GGCCUCGUAGCUCAGUUGGCUAGAGCGUUGGCUGUACUAAAGCCUUCCUCUCUCUGGCAUGGGUUCGAAUCCUACCGAGGCCG
rnacentral:tRNA from 1 species